ACACAACACCUAGCAGGAGCCAUACAAAUCACAAAGGUGGUUUUCCCAGGGUGAGGCUUUUCACUGAACUGGGAUGUGCCAACCUCUGUGAUUCCUCCCAAUGUAGGAAACUCCACUGCAUAAUCUGUAGUCAUAGGUACUAUGUUCAUGUCUUCUUC
ensembl:snRNA U1 U1 spliceosomal RNA